UCACUGAAUCCUGCUGUCUUAAAAUCUGAGGCCUCUCACUGUCUGGGUGCUACCGGAAGAUAUAGGGCUCCUGUCCACAUGGCAGAGACACAGAUGUGGACCCGCAGUGACCAACGAGGCAUGCUUCACAGAGAGCUCAAAUGGACCAGGACCAAGAACAAAGAUGAACAGGAAUAUUUAACCUAGGUUCUCUGCUGCAGUAUUACAGAAGGUGCCCAGGGAGACUUGAAUUGGCAUUCAUCUCUCCGUCUCUCUGCCCAAACACUAGCCCUUCAUAAAUGCAUAUGCCUACCUCACUGAAGAUGUUGAGCCUCUCCCAGGUAGCAAGGAGCAUCACACCCCCGCCUCAAUUUUCCAGGUAGCUUUAUUGUAAACCUUAUAAAUUACUGUUUAUAAAUUGUAUCAAGUACAUGAGAGAUAUUAAAUAAAUUCUGAGAAGGUUUGUUUCUUAAUUAAUAUCAUGUGAAGUAUUAAGACCGCUGGCUUGAAAGAAAUGGUUGUAAAAAUCUAUAGCUAGACCAUUUGCAGCGGCCAUUUCUUCACGCCCAGAUUGCAUCUU